GCAUACUUUGCUCAAGGAUAUAAUCAAGUAAAAGCUACUAGAACACGUGCUGCAAAAUUUCCAAAAUGAGUAAGAAACAAACAAAAGCAGACACUCAGGCUCCACAGUCCUUAUGUGGUUAUAUACAUGCAGUGACUCCUGUCACAAUGUCCAGACGAAAUUUCAAAUACUUCAAUGCAACCUUCCAAACACAAAGAGAUGUGUUUCACCACACAGUCAUUUUUGCAGCAGAACAACAUAUCAUGUGGUCCACCACAGCAAAAAAUGGCACGGCAGUCAAGCUGACAAACACAACAAACAAACCAGACCCCAACAGCAAAAGCUUUUCCAUUCACCGUGAUAGAAACACCGUAAUGGAAGUUAUAGAUGUGAACUUUCCGCAUAAUCCUCCAAUCGAAACACAGCUGAUGUAUGUUGAAGACAUCAAAUUGUUGGGUCCAAAGCAACAUGUGACCAAACUUCAGCCAACUGUGGUGAAGGUAAACCCACCAACAGUCAAUGCCUGGGACACAGCAUGUGAAAUAAAAGAAUGCUUCCUAAGAGACAAAAUGGGUCAGAUUAUGCUUACCUUAUGGGACAAACUAGUGACUCAGGUAGAACUGAACAACACGUAUGAGUUUGAAAAUAUGCAAACUAGAGCCUUCAGGGGUAUCCCAACAUUAACGUCUUCAAGGAGCACUAUCAUCAAACCAAUUCAGCGUGACCAAUCAGCAGGCAACUGUGGUGAAGGUAAACCCACCAACAGUCAAUGCCUGGGACACAGCAUGUGAAAUAAAAGAAUGCUUCCUAAGAGACAAAAUGGGUCAGAUUAUGCUUACCUUAUGGGACAAACUAGUGACUCAGGUAGAACUGAACAACACGUAUGAGUUUGAAAAUAUGCAAACUAGAGCCUUCAGGGGUAUCCCAACAUUAACGUCUUCAAGGAGCACUAUCAUCAAACCAAUUCAGCAAAGCAAAGUAUUUCUUGCCGGUCAAGAACCAAAAGUCACAGAAGACCUUGACAUCCAGACUACGAAACUGAUAUCAAAACCACAGGGGGUAAAAAUCCAAAUCCACAAACUUUGUCCAAAAUGUCAUCAGUCACCGCACAUCUUCAAUCCAAAACAGCCAUUACAUAGAUGCACAUGUAAAGUUCUCAGACAAGGAAAGAAUUGCCUGACAAAGUGCUCUGGAAUCAUUGAAGUCAUGAAAAAUGAUCAGGUCCUUUCUUUUACAAUAUCUAAUUCCGUUUUGUCCAAAUUCAUCAGAGCUGAAAUGGACUUGUCUUGCGCAUCGGUUGUUGACAUUGAGGAAAUGCUUUUGUCAAGCGACGACAUUGUUUACAUACACCAACACCCUUGAAAUAAUUGAACUACAAAAAGCUCCAACAGACAGUGAUGAACUUCUGGACAUUACCUUUGACGACAGCUUAAGCCUCCCUCUCUCUUCACUGCAGAUGACAACACAUCAACUCAGUCACCAAAAAGACCAGCAGAACAAGCUGAUGGACCAUGUAAGAAAGUUGCUUAAAGUCUUCUAAAAUUUAUUUUUUUUAUUUUUUUUUUUUUUUUCUUCAUUACUUUUCUCCUUUAAUACGGAAAUGUUUUUGUAUCAAUUAGUUAGAAUUAAUGGAAAAAGUAACCCUGUUUUGGUUUAAAAAAAAAUUACUAUUAGGAAAAUUGUUAAAGUUUUGAAGCUGA
rnacentral:lncRNA from 1 species